rnacentral:rRNA from 1 species
UACGUAGGGUGCAAGCGUUGUCCGGAAUUAUUGGGCGUAAAGAGCUCGUAGGCGGUCUGUCACGUCGGACGUGAAAAUCCAGGGCUCAACCCUGGACCUGCGUUCGAUACGGGCAGACUAGAGUUCGGUAGGGGAGACUGGAAUUCCCGGUGUAGAGGUGAAAUUCGUAGAUAUCGGGAGGAACACCAGUGGCGAAGGCGGCGAUCUGGGAAGAUACUGACGCUGAGGUGCGAAAGCGUGGGGAGCAAACAGG